GACGAACGCUGGCGGCGUGCCUAAUACAUGCAAGUAGAACGCACAGUUUAUACCGUAGCUUGCUACACCAUAGACUGUGAGUUGCGAACGGGUGAGUAACGCGUAGGUAACCUGCCUGGUAGCGGGGGAUAACUAUUGGAAACGAUAGCUAAUACCGCAUAAUAUUAAUUAUUGCAUGAUAAUUAAUUGAAAGGUGCAAUUGCACCACUACCAGAUGGACCUGCGUUGUAUUAGCUAGUAGGUGAGGUAACGGCUCACCUAGGCGACGAUACAUAGCCGACCUGAGAGGGUGAUCGGCCACACUGGGACUGAGACACAGCCCAGACUCCUACGGGAGGCAGCAGUAGGGAAUCUUCGGCAAUGGACGAAAGUCUGACCGAGCAACGCCGCGUGAGUGAAGAAGGUUUUCGGAUCGUAAAGCUCUGUUGUAAGAGAAGAACGGGUGUGAGAGCGGAAAGUUCACACUGUGACGGUAUCUUACCAGAAAGGGACGGCUAACUACGUG
rnacentral:rRNA from 1 species